UGCAGUAUUGCAUAGUGGAUAGAGCACUGGCCUGAGUCAGAAGGACCUGGGUUCUAAUCCCAGUUCUGCCA
rnacentral:tRNA from 1 species